GAACGACUAGAAGCUUAUCAAGAAAUCUAUAAUUUUCUUUGUGCCCUUUUACGGAUGGCUUGCAAGGUUUUUUUUUUUUAAAAAAAAAAAAUUGGUUUAAGAAAAGAGACGUAAAUCGAUCUUUUGUCCUCGAUUCCUUCCGGUUUAUUUUACUUUUAAAGAAAAGCGAGUGUAGGAGGUAGUUUUCAAAAGCGUUAUAAAGCCUGCGUUUUGUCGUAUGGUCAGUAGUAAUACAGUACGAUCUCAUUGGAAAAAUAGGAUCGCUGCGAAUCGAAACAGGAUCACAAUGAAUACGAAGACAACGACCACGAUACUUCUUAUUAGCUUUUUUAUAACUUGCUUCAUGGUCGAGGACAGCCAACAGGUAUUAUCAGUGUUAAAAAGUCAAUACAAGCCCGUCAAGCCAAGAAAACCUGCCAAACCGAGUGCAACAAACGUGAACAAGCCGAGUGCUAACAGAGCAAAGGGAUCAAACAGAUUGCCUUUUAGAAGCAGAAAACCAGACCGCUAUUCAGAAGGCCCGGUGCACGACACAAGAUCCUUCCAUAGAUUCUACAGAUACUAACUAAAAGGGGAAUGAACAAGGAUCAUUUUCGCUCACAGCAGUCCGAAAUAUACAUGAAGGGAAAAGAAACGGAUACGAUAAAAUUGCAACAGAACGAAGAAAUAAAGGUGAUUCAGAUAUGUAAUGACAAAUUUCUCAAAAGUCAAUGAUCCUGUUAAUUUUUCUAAAUAAAUUCAUUGUGUAAUCAAAUGAUUAAAAGGACAUUGUGCAUUUUUA